rnacentral:rRNA from 1 species
UACGUAGGGGGCAAGCGUUGUCCGGAAUCAUUGGGCGUAAAGAGCGUGUAGGCGGCCCGAUAAGUCCGCUGUGAAAGUCCAGGGCUCAACCCUGGAAUGCCGGUGGAUACUGUCGGGCUCGAAUCCGGAAGAGGUGAGUGGAAUUCCUGGUGUAGCGGUGAAAUGCGCAGAUAUCAGGAGGAACACCAAUGGCGAAGGCAGCUCACUGGGACGGUAUUGACGCUGAGACGCGAAAGCGUGGGGAGCAAUCCGG